CCUACGGGAGGCAGCAGUGGGGAAUAUUGGACAAUGGGGGAAACCCUGAUCCAGCGACGCCGCGUUAGUGAAGAAGUAUUUCGGUACGUAAAGCUCUAUCAGCAGGAAAGAAAAUGACGGUACCUGACUAAGAAGCCCCGGCUAACUACGUGCCAGCAGCCGCGGUAAUACGUAGGGGGCAAGCGUUAUCCGGAUUUACUGGGUGGAAAGGGAGCGUAGACGGCAGCGCAAGUCUGGAGUGAAAUGCCGGGGCCCAACCCCGGAACUGCUCUGGAAACUGUGAAGCUGGAGUGCAGGAGAGGUAAGCGGAAUUCCUGGUGUAGCGGUGAAAUGCGUAGAUAUCAGGAGGAACACCGGCGGCGAAGGCGGCUUACUGGACUGUAACUGACGUUGAGGCUCGAAGGCGUGGGGAGCAAACAGGAUUAGAUACCCCGGUAGUC
rnacentral:rRNA from 1 species